rnacentral:rRNA from 1 species
AUGAACGCUGGCGGCGUGCCUAAUACCUGCAAGUCGAGCGAACAGACGAGGAGCUUGCUCCUCUGACGUUAGCGGCGGACGGGUGAGUAACACGUGGAUAACCUACCUAUAAGACUGGGAUAACUUCGGGAAACCGGAGCUAGUACCGGAUAAUAUAUUGAACCGCAUGGUUCAAUAGUGAAAGACGGUUUUGCUGUCACUUAUAGAUGGAUCCGCGCCGCAUUAGCUAGUUGGUAAGGUAACGGCUUACCAAGGCAACGAUGCGUAGCCGACCUGAGAGGGUGAUCGGCCACACUGGAACUGAGACACGGUCCAGACUCCUACGGGAGGCAGCAGUAGGGAAUCUUCCGCAAUGGGCGAAAGCCUGACGGAGCAACGCCGCGUGAGUGAUGAAGGUCUUCGGAUCGUAAAACUCUGUUAUUAGGGAAGAACAAAUGUGUAAGUAACUAUGCACGUCUUGACGGUACCUAAUCAGAAAGCCACGGCUAACUACGUG